ensembl:lncRNA
AUAAAAAUGUUCCGCCCCUAAUGAGCAUUUGAGCAGCCAAUCAGAAUCAUCUAUGUCAUGUGAUCAUGAGUACAGCAGCGGAUUGUUCUAGUGAGAGUUUCGAAGCACCAUGGAUGAUGAAUUUGAAGGUAAAUGCACCUUUCAAUUGUUUGCCAACCGCCAAUACGACUGUCAGAAAGAAAGAAAGAAGAAAGAGUUUGAAGGUACCAGCUCUCAGGUAUGAAGCUAACUUUCAAAAGUUACAUGAGUACAAACAGGUACCUUGUCGGGUUUUUUUCGUUUGCUUGUUUUUGGUUGGUUUUUUUUUUAACCCUGUCCUGUCUGGCUGUUUUUGUGGCACAAAUAUAACGGUGUAGAGAAAGAGUUGAGCGCGCACGGGCAGAAAUGUUGAGAGCGCCAGCAACACGUUGUUAGCGAGCGCAAAUGCAAAAACCGAGCGAGAGGGGCUGCUGUUGUGUGUGUGUUAGUGAUGGGUCGUUCGCGAACGAAAUGGCUCUUAGAGCCGUCUCUUUGACGUGAACGACGCGAGCCGGCUCCUUAUCGCGAGCCGUCACGUGGUUUUUUUUCUCUCUCUCUCUCUCGCUCUCUCUCUCGCACGUUUUUCCGCUUCACUCUGCACGUGGGCAGAGGGGGGGAGGGGCGGUAGUUACUCUCAGUAGCACAGGAACAGCCAGAGGGAGAGAGAGAGAAAGAGAGCCAGGGAUAGAAAGGUAUAGUAAUCAUCCACAACUAUUUUCGGUUGCAGAUGAUAAAGGAUUCAGAAAGUUUAUUCAUGCGGGCCCAUAUGACAGAGAAUAUACAUGUUCUUUUUGUUUUCAUAUUAUAAUUUAUAUUUAAUUGUGUUGUGGUUUGCAGUGUUUUGUGUUGUUUUCACUUUAAAUUUGUAAAAGGAAAAAGAUGAAAAUUUAAAUAGUUAAAAGUUGAAAUGUGAAUAGUUGAUUUUUGUAUUAUAUGAUUUAUUUAUUACAUUUUAUGUGGAUUUUGCAGCAAAAUUAUCCACACCCACCGCCGCGCUAUGAAUUGUGGGAUAUAUGGGACCACGAAGCGUGCACCGGACCACGCUUGAUAUUUGGGGAAAUCGACGGCGCAUUUGAAGUACGCUUCGAGUUGGGACAGUCGUCACGUGGCGGUGACGUAAUCGCACUCAGAAUGCGUACUUCAAGCGUGCGGUCUCUGAAUUGGGACACAGCCCCAGUCUCCAUUUCAACUUGUGUUGAAAGUGCGGACUUCAAAUGAUAUUCUCUUAAUUGUGUUAAUAGGCCACGUAAAACCAGAGUUAUGAUUCGAAACAGUACAAACGGUGUUUUCUGAGGACAGCGCUACCAAACACUCUCCGUUGGCGACCAAAAUUUUAAAAACAAAAUUAAAAAAAAAAAAAAAGGAUGCAUGUCUGCCAUUACCUGCCAAAACCGGAAGUAACAUAAUAUUUUGUGGGAAACGUAGUUUUUCCCCUCAGGGCCUUGAUGAACCUAUACUGGUGGUUUUAAGUUAUGUCUGACAUAUGUCUGUGCAGUUUCUGGGAUGCUUAGACCUCAAAAUGCACUGUUGGAAAUUAUUUUAUUUUCUAUGUUUUGUUCUGUUACUUUUCUAAAAACAGAUGGUGAUCUUUUCUAAAAGCGAUAGGACAGGUGUGGAGGAGAGUGAAGCAAGAGAAUGGGUUCCUAAGUCUGUGAGCUCAUCUGAAGAUGAUGGGACAGAUGACUGGAAACCCACACAGGAUGAAUCUGAAGGCUAUUCAGAAGAGGAGGAAGAACAAGAACGUAAAAGGAUUCCUAAGAUGGUGGCAGCAUCUGAAGAGGAUGGGACACAUGAUAGCAGACCCACACAAGAUGAAUCUAAAGAUGAUUCAAAGGAUGAAGCAGAACAUUUGGGACAAAUGAUUCACAAAGUGGCCAUGGAAAAGAUGCAGCAGGCCUAUGUAAGCCAAGACAAAGCAAUGACUGUGAAUAAGAGUUCAGAAAAAAGGGUGAUUCACCAAACCAGAUGCUUGAAGAGGCUCACUUUUCAUCAGUCAACUCUCUUUGAAGACACGAUACCAAGAUCUGAUAACAACAAGAAAGACCAAAGUGGAAUGUCAUCUGCAGCAAUAAUAACCUCAGAACAACUGGAGGAGAAAGAGAUACAAGAAGAGUCUCUGGAGAAGAUGAAGAGUGAAGACAAAGAAGGGAAGAGAAAAGAAAAAGUACAGCAGGAGCCUCUGGAGAAGAUGAGCGGCAAAAGGCAAAGGAAGGAAGAAAAGAUACAGGCAGAGCCUCUGGAGAAGAUGAGCGGCAAAAGGCAAAGGAAGGAAGAAAAGAUACAGGCAGAGCCUCUGGAGAAGAUGAGCGGCAAAAGGCAAAGGAAGGAAGAAAAGAUACAGGCAGAGCCUCUGGAGAAGAUGAAGAGUGAAGCCAAAGUAGGAAAGAGAAAAGAAAAAGUACAGCAGGAGCCUCUGGAGAAGAUGAGCGGCAAAAGGCAAAGGAAGGAAGAAAAGAUACAGGCAGAGCCUCUGGAGAAGAUGAGCGGCAAAAGGCAAAGGAAGGAAGAAAAGAUACAGGCAGAGCCUCUGGAGAAGAUGAGCGGCAAAAGGCAAAGGAAGGAAGAAAAGAUACAGGCAGAGCCUCUGGAGAAGAUGAGCGGCAAAAGGCAAAGGAAGGAAGAAAAGAUACAGGCAGAGCCUCUGGAGAAGAUGAAGAGUGAAGCCAAAGUAGGAAAGAGAAAAGAAAAAGUACAGCAGGAGCCUCAGGAGAAGAUGAGUGAAGGGGGAAAGGACUCUGAAAAUAAGGUGCAAUUUAUUCCAUUGCUCCCAGUAAGCCCAAGAAAUGCCUUAUUUGAGGGCUUUUGCAUUGUAUUUGUUUUUGAAGAUUCCACUUUUUUUAUUACAUAAAAGAGUUGUUAAUAAAAAGUGAUCAUCUAAUACUGUGUCCAAUGAGUUACUGUCACGUUUAUUUUCUGGAAUCACUGGUGCUCUCAGACUUGACAUUAUAUAAUUCCACCAUAUGUGAGAUCAGUCAAAUUAAGAAAGGAGACAUGCUUCUUGAAGAAGUAAAAGUCAAAGCUUAAGAUAUAAUGUCAGUAUGUAAAUGUUGAAGUUUUGGGGUAUGUUGUACUAUACAGUCAAACCAUUUGAUGCCAUUUGGUCCUAUAUCUACACAAGUUUCAGUUGUAAAAUCAUAAGGCUAAUAAGUUCACAUAAACUUCAUAACUUAAUCAGAAUGUACAUAGAGGUCCUACCACUGGGGGAAAGACCAAGCACCACAAUCUACCACAUUUUCUGAACCACUUGCUCUCAUCCACAUAGGGAGCCGCAUUGAACUUGUUAAUCUAAUAAAAGAAAAAGUGACCUCAAUUUUGCAGCGGUUUGUUCUCCCCCCUGCCUGACUUUAAAUGGUAAAUGGCCUGCAUUUGUAUAGCGCUUUUCUAGUCCUUAAGGACCCCAAAGUGCUUUACACUACAUUCAGUCAUUCACACACUGGCGAUAGC